rnacentral:lncRNA from 1 species
UGGCAAGAGGACGGAGGUCCUGACCAUUCUUCAAAAUUAUGCUGUAAGUGAUGAAAAUUCAAAAUUUAUUUUAAUGAUUUUGCAUAUUUACUGGUUGUAGCAAACUACGAAAACUUGCUCUCUUGCUUACGCUGGCAGGUACUCUGUAUAGCUUGUUGCGUGUUUUACGGUCUGUGAGCGAUAAAAAGAGGGAGAGUAUGCACGAAGAAGAGAACCAGAGCGGCAGAGGAAGAGAGUUCGUAUGAAAUUUUACCUCAUUAUUUAUUAUUUGAUUCGUAAACUAUUUCUAUUGUUUUACUAACUAAUCAAGCAAUAAUUUU